AGUCAAUAGAUACCCUGGUAGUCCACGCCGUAAACGAUGAGUACUAGGUGUAGGAGGUAUCGACUCCUUCUGUGCCGCAGUUAAACACAAUAAGUACUCCGCCUGGGAAGUACGGUCGCAAGAUUAAAAACUCAAAGGAAUUGACGGGGGUCCCGGCACAAGCAGCGGAGCAUGUGGUUUAAUUUACGAAGCAACGCGAAGAACCUUACCUAGACUUGACAUCUCCUGAAUAGUGUAGAGAUACAUGAAGCCCUUCGGGGUCGAGGAAGACAGGUGGUGCAUGGUUGUCGUCAGCUCGUGUCGUGAGAUGUUGGGUUU
rnacentral:rRNA from 1 species